rnacentral:rRNA from 1 species
AGAGUUUGAUCAUGGCUCAGGACGAACGCUGGCGGCGUGCUUAAUACAUGCAAGUCGAGCGAGGUUACUGUUUUGGAUCCCUUCGGGGUGAAGAAGCUUUAACCUAGCGGCGGACGGGUGAGUAACGCGUGGGUAACCUACCCCAAAGUCCGGGAUAACAGCGGGAAACCGCUGCUAAUACCGGAUGCCUUUACCUUGGGGCAUCUUGAGGUAAAGAAAGGCAACGCUUUGGGAUGGGCCCGCGUCCCAUUAGCUAGUUGGUGAGGUAACGGCUCACCAAGGCGACGAUGGGUAGCCGGCCUGAGAGGGUGGACGGCCACACUGGGACUGAGACACGGCCCAGACUCCUACGGGAGGCAGCAGUAGGGAAUAUUGCGCAAUGGACGGAAGUCUGACGCAGCGACGCCGCGUGAGCGAUGAAGGUCUUCGGAUCGUAAAGCUCUGUCCUUGGGGAAGAAGGCGAAAGCUUGACGGUACCCAAGAAGAAAGCCCCGGCUAACUACGUGCCAGCAGCCGCGGUAAUACGUAGGGGGCGAGCGUUGUCCGGAAUUACUGGGCGUAAAGGGUGCGUAGGCGGCCCUUUAAGUCGGAUGUGAAAGCCCGCGGCUUAACCGUGGAAUGGCAUUCGAAACUGGAGGGCUUGAGUGUCGGAGAGGGUAGUGGAAUUCCCAGUGUAGCGGUGAAAUGCGUAGAUAUUGGGAGGAACACCAGUGGCGAAGGCGACUACCUGGACGAUAACUGACGCUGAGGCACGAAAGCUAGGGGAGCAAACAGGAUUAGAUACCCUGGUAGUCCUAGCCGUAAACGAUGGGUACUAGGUGUGGGUGGUUUCGAUACCAUCCGUGCCGUAGUUAACGCAUUAAGUACCCCGCCUGGGGAGUACGUGCGCAAGCAUGAAACUCAAAGGAAUUGACGG